rnacentral:pre_miRNA from 1 species
UGUUAAAAUUUUCAUGUAUUUGUAAUGUUAAAAACUAGUGUGACUAACGGAAUAACCAAAUAAUGACAUAUGACGUGCCAUUGUACCUCAAACUAAUGUAUAUGAAUCAAUUUUUAAUAAUAGAAAAGGGUUAAAAUUUUAAUA